GAUGAAGAACGUAGCGAAAUGCGAUAAGUAAUGUGAAUUGCAGAAUUCAGUGAAUCAUCGAAUCUUUGAACGCACCUUGCACCCUUUGGUAUUCCGAAGGGUAUGCUCGUUUGAGUGUCAUUGUACUCUCACACUUCUAAUUCCUUUCGGGAUUGGGAGCGGUGGACUUGGGUGUUGCUGCUUUAGUUGUGGCUCACCUCAAAUAAGUUAGUGCAACUCUUGGUUGGACAUAGUACGGCGUGAUAAGUGUCUUCGCCGGCGCCUCUGUAAGGAGGGUGGCCGAUCGGGAGCUCUGUGCUUCAAACCGUCUUCGGACAAUCUUUGACAACUUGACCUCAAAUCGAGUAGGACUACCCGCUGAACUUAAGCAUACAAUAAGCGGAGGA
rnacentral:misc_RNA from 1 species